UUACCAGUCCAGACGGCUGCUGUCCGUAGCUUUAUGCGAAGGGCAGAGGAAAGUCCGGACUCCCCACUGAGGUAUACCGAGGUGGUCAUGGCACCGUGGAGACACGGGUAGGUGUAAGCUUACGGAUCGGGCCACAGAAACAAGUAGCCUUUUUUGCGCAAGCAAUAAGGUGAUAGUGAAAAGGUGCGGUAAGAGCGCACCGGUCUGCAUAGCAAUAUGCAGGCGUCAAGGUAACCCCUGCCUGGAGCAACCUGAAGAACAGGGCAUCCGCGAGGAACCGUUUUGACAGUACCUAAGCUUAGUAGUGUCAGAAAGGUAGAGAAAUAGCUGUCUCAAUUCCGCAAAAGCGGAAGGAUACAGAAUCCGGCUUACGGACUGGUUAUAAA
rnacentral:RNase_P_RNA from 2 species